GAGUGCCGCCGGAGAGCCGCGCGCCGCGGCCCCAUGAGCGGCGGUUCCCCGGCCAUA
rfam:Pyrobaculum aerophilum str. IM2, complete genome.